rnacentral:rRNA from 1 species
UGGGGAAUAUUGGACAAUGGGCGCAAGCCUGAUCCAGCAAUGCCGCGUGAGUGAUGAAGGCCUUAGGGUUGUAAACCUCUUUUGUCAGGGAAGAUGAUGACGGUACCUGACGAAUAAGCCACGGCUAACUACGUGCCAGCAGCCGCGGUAAUACGUAGGUGGCGAGCGUUGUCCGGAUUUACUGGGCGUAAAGAGCGCGCAGGCGGUCGUCCAAGUCGCGUGUGAAAGCCCCCGGCUCAACUGGGGAGGGUCACGCGAUACUGAUCGACUCGAAGGCAGGAGAGGGUAGUGGAAUUCCCGGUGUAGUGGUGAAAUGCGUAGAUAUCGGGAGGAACACCAGUGGCGAAGGCGACUACCUGGCCUGUUCUUGACGCUGAGGCGCGAAAGCUAGGGGAGCAAA